AGAUGUGAGGGCUGUGACAUCUGUCACCUCACUAAUCAGCAGAGUGGAUUCAGCUGAUCUGGCUGGCGAGGCAGGUGUCCCCUUCCUCCCUCAACACUCCACAUGUGUCCCUCCCGAAGCUGCAGCUCCUUCAGUGGAAUAGGGCAUCUCCCCACCCCCACAUAGCAGGAAUGUUUCUUUGGUCAAGGGUAGUGGAGUAGCUGUUCUCCCCUGCUAUAACCUCCAAAAAACUCUCAAAAGAUAUUGAGAACCUACAAUCUUCUUUAUUAUCCUUAAGUUUCCACAUAUACUUGGGUCUAUUUCAGAUAGGUUCUUUUUCU
rnacentral:snRNA from 1 species